AUUUAUUAUAAGCCAAGAGGUCAGGUGAGGGUCUAAAAUCAAUUCAUAAAAUAGAAGUCAUAGGGAAGAGGCUGGUGGUUAUACGAUUGCCCUCUCAAAAAAUAACCGACUUAACGUGGGUUGAACUUUUCCUUGGUGGAUAGAGUCUUGCCCCGUGUCUCCUGACAACCACCCCUUUUAUUUUCCCAAUGAGAAGUGAAUCUUAGCCAACCACAAGUUUCUAGCAUCCUCAGAGGCACCACAGAACAGAAAUUUCCUCUCCCCUCUCUGUAGGCUGUUACCCCUGUGCCAACCCUUCCCAGCACCACCAUUCAACAUACUUAACCUCUGUCAAAGCUCAGCUAACGUACCACCUUCUCUCCAAUUGCCAGUGUCCUUCUAAAAAUCAUUUUGUAUUUAUUUUUAAGUGAACAAAUUGUUUUUCUUUCCAAUUGAAUACAAACCCCUAGAAAGUAAAAACUGUCCUGUCUUGUCUUUGUAGCCCUGGUGCAAGUUGGACUGGGGUCAUUAGUGAAGGCUUGGUGAAGGAAUGAAUGAAUCAAGUCCAGAAACAGGCUUCUUCACCAUGGGACUGACACAAACAGUCAUGCUCCCAAGCAUGGGUUCUCUUACAUCAGCAAAGGGCUUUACAGCCCACUGUGAAUAUCUACUUGUACCAAGCGCCUUUCCCACCUCUCCAAGAAGCCCCAGCUGUCAUCUGGAACCUGAGUGUCCACCUCAUUGGGACAGACUUUUCUCGGCAGCUUCUCCUCCAAACCUCUUAACCAUCCCACCAGGAGACAAGACCCGGCACAGAAGAAAAGCCUCAGACGGGCCCUUUAAUGAAGUGCAAUAGCAGCUGAGAGAAAACGUGACUUUUGUCCUCGGAACAGCUCCCCCCCCCCCCCCAACCUUUCCCAAUGACAGCAGUCUGCUCCCUUCCCAUAGAGGGGAAGAUCAGAACAGCCUCCAGCACUUCGUCAUCAGCAGCACCAAAUCUAAAUCUAUUGUCUUAGACUCCAGCUCCCUGGCCUCUCCCACAGGGGCACCCUAAGGCAGAAGGUGCAAUGCUCCUGCCCACCCCCCAGCAAGGUCACAGUCAUGAGAUGGAGGGCAUUUAUAAACAGGUCCCAUUAAAUAAAAAGUACAGCUUCAAGCACAGACGUGGCAAACAGCAGAAAACAACAGCUGCCUGGGAAGGCAGCUCUGUGAGUGUGGCUGGCCUUUCUCUUCUGUGCCCCAUAUUCUCACCACUGCCAUCCCCAUUUCGAGUAGGGGGUCUGUGUGACUCUGAGGAGAGCCUUAUUUAUUAUUACUAAUGACACUGUAGGCAUGCAUUGUACACACACAUAUGUACACACCACACAUCUGCUCUAGCUUGAGUAAAAAUAAAACCCUGCUUGCUUUCUGAUGUACCUAUCAGGGUCAGCUAUACUUUUUUUUUUUUUAUUCAGGAAGGAUUGAUCAAAUAAGUUUCAAAAAACCCAUGAGAAAUAACUUCCUUGCUAAUAGUUUCCCAUCUAAAAGUAAUAACCCUGUCUUAAAAUAAAAUAAAUUUUAAAAUAAAGGCUGGGGAGGGGAGGAAGCGGGAGGCUGACAUGUAGCUGGACAUAUUCAAGGCAUGCUUCUCUACCAAGAUUUAGUUUCAUGUUUGUGCCAGAAGAUCCCUCAGAUCUGGAGGUUGUAGCAUUCAGGACCUGUGCACACAGCAUGGAGAUUUAAUUAACAGGAGUCACUGGAGGAUCCUGUCCUCAGUUCUGGCUAUAUAUACACCACCAGGUCUCCAGAAAAGGAGGAACUUAGAUACUAAAACAGUUCCCACUGGGGAUGAAGCAUUCUGGCUCAACCUAGCCCAGGGCUUUUAAAUUUCAGGGGAAAGUAUCUAUUAAAAAAAAGCUUUUCUUUUAUAUUGUAAUUUAAGUCCUUAUAAUUCCAUAAAAUUAUUUGUGUCAAUUAAGUAACUCCCAAACUUUGCCUAUAUUCAGCAAACAUGAGCUAACAUUAAAUUUAAACCGAAAUAUGACGGGUCUCAAAUUCUACCUUCAACUUCUUCAAAUCAACUGUUUACAACUCACAGACAAUUCCUUGGUUGCUGUUACCCAGGACUUUUAUGCAUAAUCCAGACAUUAACAAAGCUCCCUCCUGCAUGAGGGUGAAGGACCCUCAAGUCUCUAUGCCUGUAAUUCAAGAGAUUGAAAGUAGGGGUCCAAAAGCAAAUAAAAGCUGAUUCAGAAAUAGCCACUGCCCACAGGCCUGUUCUCCUUCCAGCAGCAACACUAUCCCAUCCCAGAGGAUGAGGCAGCAAAUCUCAACAGAAACACAAGACCCUGCCCACCACAGGCAAACUCUAGAGACAAUUUCCAUAGCCUCUGCCCUUUCCUUUCCUAACCUCAAAACGCACACCUGAUCCCCGCAUGCCUCACCGCUGGGCAUCUCCUCCGCGAUCACCACGCACCUGAUCACCAUACAACUGUCAGUACACAGGAAUGGACUGACACCAUCACCCCCCAGCCCUCGGCUCCAAUCCACCAUCCCUCUCCGUGCCAUUAUUGCCCAUCCCAAACACCACCAUCAUUGCACACAAGAUCUUCUGCCCCCGCUUCCCUUCUUGCCUUUCCGAGCCGGCUGCAUAAGUACUGCUUGUAAAAGCGAUUUGCCCAUGCAAAGGGAAAUAAUCAGAAUGCCACGCUCAUUUACACACAAAAUGAGUUUGUGUCCCAUUGUGUUCACAGUUGUUCAGCUCUCUAGGGGUGAUUAAACUCGCUGUGCGGCUCCAGCUU